rnacentral:rRNA from 1 species
AUUGAACGCUGGCGGCAGGCCUAAUACAUGCAAGUCGAGCGAGCGGCGGACGGGUGAGUAAUGUAUGGGGACUGCACGAUAGAGGGGGAUAACUACUGGAAAAGGUGGCUAAUACCACAUACUGUAGGAUAACCCAUACUGGAGUAGCUAGUAGGUAAGGUAAUGGCUUACCUAGGCGACGAUCCCUAGCUGGUCUGAGAGGAUGAUCGGCCACACUGGGACUGAGACACGGCCCAAACUCCUACGGAGGCAGCAGUGGGGAAUCUUGCACAAUGGGCGAAAGCCUGAUGCAGCCAUGCCGCGUGUGUGAAGAAGGCCCUAGGAUUGUAAAGUACUGUCGUUCGGGAGGCGUUAACGACAGAAGAAGCACCGGCUAACUCCGUGCCAGCCGCCGCGGUAAUAC